rnacentral:lncRNA from 1 species
AUGAUGAAGAGAGUGUGAGAAGAAGAUGAGAGACUAAAAAAAAGAAGAGAGAGGAGGAAAAGGAGAGAGUGAGAAGAAGAGGAGAGAGUGAAAAAAAAAGAGGAGAGAGGAGGAAGUGGAGAAAAUGAGAACAAGAGGAGGACAGAGAAGGAAGAAGAGGUGAGAUGAGGAAGAGGAGAAAGUGAGAAGAAGAGAGAAGAGGAAGAGGAGAGAGUGAGAAGGAGCGAGAGAUGAAGAGAGUGUGUGAAGGAGAGAGUGAGAAGAGGAGAGGAGGAAGAGGAGUGAGAAGAAAAGGAGAGAGAGAGACGAAGAGACUGAGAAGAGGAGAGAGUGAGAAGAAGAAGAGGAGAGAGAGAAGAAGAGGAGAGUGUGAGAAGAAGAGGAGAGAGUGUGAAGAAGAAGAGGAGAGAGGAAGAAGAGGAGAAAGUGAGAAGAGGAAGAGGAGAUAGUGAGAAGGAGAGAGUGAGAAGAAAAGAGAGAGGAGGAAGAGGAGAGAGUGAGAAG